GACGAACGCUGGCGGCGUGCUUAACACAUGCAAGUCGAACGCAGUGGCUAACGGGUGAGUAACACGUGAGUAACCUGCCCCCUUCUUUUGUUUAGAUCCCGGAAACAGAUGCUAACACUUGAUAGUGGGGGAUGGGGUCGCGGCCUAUCAGCUUGUUGGUGGGGGGAUGGCCUACCAAGGCUGUGACGGGUAGCCGGCCUGAGAGGGUGACCGGUCACAUUGGGACUGAGAUACGGCCCAGACUCCUACGGGAGGCAGCAGUGGGGGAUAUUGCACAAUGGGCGAAAGCCUGAUGCAGCGACGCCGCGUGAGGGAUGAAGGCUUUCGGGUUGUAAACCUCUUUCGCUAAUGGUCGGGUAGUGGGUAAAGAAGCGCCGGCUAACUACGUGCCAGCAGCCGCGGUAAUAC
rnacentral:rRNA from 1 species